UACGUAGGGUGCGAGCGUUGUCCGGAAUUACUGGGCGUAAAGAGCUCGUAGGUGGUUUGUCGCGUUUGUUCGUGAAAUCCCGUGGCUUAACUGCGGGCGUGCGGGCGAUACGGGCAGACUGGAGUACUGCAGGGGAGACUGGAAUUCCUGGUGUAGCGGUGGAAUGCGCAGAUAUCAGGAGGAACACCGGUGGCGAAGGCGGGUCUCUGGGCAGUAACUGACGCUGGAGGAGCGAAAGCGUGGGGAGCGAACAGG
rnacentral:rRNA from 1 species